rnacentral:rRNA from 1 species
AUUGAACGCUGGCGGCAUGCCUUACACAUGCAAGUCGAACGGCAGCACGGGUGCUUGCACCUGGUGGCGAGUGGCGAACGGGUGAGUAAUACAUCGGAACAUGUCCUGUAGUGGGGGAUAGCCCGGCGAAAGCCGGAUUAAUACCGCAUACGAUCUACGGAUGACAGCGGGGGACCUUCGGGCCUCGCGCUAUAGGGUUGGCCGAUGGCUGAUUAGCUAGUUGGUGGGGUAAAGGCCUACCAAGGCGACGAUCAGUAGCUGGUCUGAGAGGACGACCAGCCACACUGGGAGUGAGACAGGGACAAGACUCCUACGGGAGGCAGCAGUGGGGAAUUUUGGACAAUGGGCGAAAGCCUGAUCCAGCAAUGCCGCGUGUGUGAAGAAGGCCUUCGGGUUGUAAAGCACUUUUGUCCGGAAAGAAAUCCUUGGCCCUAAUACGGUCGGGGGAUGACGGUACCGGAAGAAUAAGCACCGGCUAACUACGUG